GGUGUGAUCUCUGGCUCAGAGAGUACGCGGGCGGCGCACGCUUACACACAGUGAGUCUCAACGGCAGCACGGGGGGGCGCCCCCCUGGGUGGGCGGAGGUGGGCGGCAGNCGGGGGUGGAGGUGAAAUAACAAUACUGGGAAACAGUGUCCUCUGUUAUGUGGGGGGGAUAGGCCCCGGCGCAGAAGCGCCGGAUAUAAUACCGCAUACGAUAUACGGGAGAAAGCGGGGGAUCUUUCGGGACCUCGCGCUAUAGGGGCGGCCGAUGGCAGAUUAGCUAGUUGGUGGGGUAAAGGCCUACCAAGGCGACGAUCUGUAGCUGGUCUGAGAGGACGACCAGCCACACUGGGACUGAGACACGGCCCAGACUCCUACGGGAGGCAGCAGUGGGGAAUUUUGGACAAUGGGGGAAACCCUGAUCCAGCAAUGCCGCGUGUGUGAAGAAGGCCUUCGGGUUGUAAAGCACUUUUGUCCGGAAAGAAAACUUCUGCCCUAAUACGGUGGGAGGAUGACGGUACCGGAAGAAUAAGCACCGGCUANUCUAA
rnacentral:rRNA from 1 species